UACGUAGGGGGCAAGCGUUGUCCGGAUUUAUUGGGCGUAAAGAGCUCGUAGGCGGUUUGGUAAGUCAGGUGUGAAAUCUCCACGCUCAACGUGGAGGGGCCACCUGAUACUGCCAUGACUGGAGUCCGGUAGAGGCGAGUGGAAUUCCCGGUGUAGUGGUGAAAUGCGUAGAGAUCGGGAGGAACACCAGUGGCGAAGGCGGCUCGCUGGGCCGGUCCUGACACUGAGGCGCGGAAAGGCGUGGGGAGCGAACGGGAGUUAG
rnacentral:rRNA from 1 species